rnacentral:rRNA from 1 species
UAACACAUGCAAGUCGAACGGUAACAGGAAGCAGCUUGCUGCUUUGCUGACGAGUGGCGGACGGGUGAGUAAUGUCUGGGAAACUGCCUGAUGGAGGGGGAUAACUACUGGAAACGGUGGCUAAUACCGCAUAACGUCGCAAGACCAAAGAGGGGGACCUUCGGGCCUCUUGCCAUCAGAUGUGCCCAGAUGGGAUUAGCUUGUUGGUGAGGUAACGGCUCACCAAGGCGACGAUCCCUAGCUGGUCUGAGAGGAUGACCAGCCACACUGGAACUGAGACACGGUCCAGACUCCUACGGGAGGCAGCAGUGGGGAAUAUUGCACAAUGGGCGCAAGCCUGAUGCAGCCAUGCCGCGUGUAUGAAGAAGGCCUUCGGGUUGUAAAGUACUUUCAGCGGGGAGGAAGGUGUUGUGGUUAAUAACCGCAGCAAUUGACGUUACCCGCAGAAGAAGCACCGGCUAACUCCGUGCCAGCAGCCGCGGUAAUACGGAGGGUGCAAGCGUUAAUCGGAAUUACUGGGCGUAAAGCGCACGCAGGCGGUCUGUCAAGUCGGAUGUGAAAUCCCCGGGCUCAACCUGGGAACUGCAUUCGAAACUGGCAGGCUUGAGUC